rnacentral:lncRNA from 1 species
AAGGAUGAGCAGGAGGAGGACCAGCAAAGAAAGGGGGAGCAGCAGGGCAGGAGGCCAAGACCAGCCCAAGCCAGCUCCAUGAGGGUCCUGUUGGGGUCCUUGUAAAUGUUUUACUUGAGCAAUCCCUUGGUUUGAUGCUCAGACCCAGGGAACCUCAAGGUACUGAUUGAGGCCUGGGUGGGAAAUCACUGGUUCAGGACUAACCACAAGAGCUUACUCUUCACAUCAGUAUCCUCCUGACACUGUUAACAAGUGGGGAGAGAGGAGGAGCGAAGGAAGAUCAGGGUUCAGGGACAGUUGGUUUUGAGGGUCCAGGUGCCAAGUCUAUCCCAUCAUGGUCACCCUCCCCUAUGUGGAGAGAGGUCCCUCCCACAAAAGAAAGUCAAAUUUAAGGCUAACGGUUCAGGGCUGCUCCUGGCCAAUGGGAUGGGCUCCACUGUGGGUGGAAUGGCAGUGACCCCAGAGUUCUGUCUGUUGCCUGGCACCCACUCUGCCUCAUGUGCCUAGGCAGUUGGAGGCCCUUGUGUUUGCUGACCUGCUCUGAUGCUCACUUGCCUGUCCACCCUGCUCUGACCCACCUGAUCCCCACACCUUCCUGAUUGACUUGUUAUCAUUUUGAGAGGAGAGGCCCACAUCCAACAGUGAGAGUCAGAAAGGCAGUUGGAGGCCCUUGUGGUCUCUGACCUGCUCUGACACUCACCUGCCCUCCCUGUUCUGACCCACAGACCUGAAGCUGUGUCCAUUUAUACAGCAGAGACCAGCUAUAACAGCAAGUGGUCAGAAAGGCUACUGGAGUCCCUCUUAGUCACUGACCUGCUCUGAUGCUCGCUCACCUGCCCACCCUGCUCUGACCCACCUGAUCCCCACACCCACCUGGUUACCUUUUUACCAUUUUGAGAGGAGAGGCCUAAGUCCAACAGUGAGAGUCAGAAAGGCAGUUGGAGGCCCUCGUGGUUGCUGUCCCAUUCUGACAUCUGUUCAUCUGUCUGCCCAACCUUCUCUGACCCACUUGAUUCCCCCACCCGACUGGUUACCUUGUUACAAUUUUAAGAGGAGAGGCCCACAUCCAACUGUGAGAGUGAGAAAGGCAGUUGGAGGCCCUGUGGUCUCUGACCUGCUCUGACGCUC